rnacentral:lncRNA from 1 species
UUACAUGUUCUUAGUUUCGGCUUUUAAAGCCGAUUUACAUGAAAUCCCUAGUCUAUGCCUAUGCCUGUCUCGCUUGCCUUGAUUUGUUUGCAGGGAUCAACGCACGUGGAUGGAAGUGACGGUGGCAGUUGGCGGUGGUUGCUGGCAGAGCAGGUGGGCAGAAGACCAAAAGUCAGAAGACCCUAGGAGCGGCGCCUAGGGUUCUUCUGUUUUCUGCUAGGGUUUUCUGUUUCCUUUAUUUUUGGUUGGGCCAUUUGGGCUGUUUAAGUUAGUUGGGUAUUGAAAGUUUGGGUUUAAUUUGUUUUGGGUUUGUAUUAGUUUUGAUGGGCUUUGGGUUGGGGGUUUA